rnacentral:tRNA from 1 species
GCCGCGUUCGUCUAGUGGCCUAGGACAUCUGCUUCUCAGGCAGAAGAUCGUGGGUUCAAAUCCCACACGCGGUA